GACGAACGCUGGCGGCGUGCUUAACACAUGCAAGUCGAACGGAAAGUCCCUGCUUUUGUGGGGUGCUCGAGUGGCGAACGGGGGAGUAACACGUGAGUAACCUGCCCUUGACUUUGAGAUAACUUCAGGAAACUGGGGCUAAUACCGGAUAGGAGCUCCUGCUGCAUGGUGGGGGUUGGAAAGUUUCGGCGGUUGGGGAUGGACUCGCGGCUUAUCAGCUUGUUGGUGGGGUAGUGGCUUACCAAGGCUUUGACGGGUAGCCGGCCUGAGAGGGUGACCGGCCACAUUGGGACUGAGAUACGGCCCAGCCUCCUACGGGAGGGAGCAGUGCGGAAUAUUGCCCAGUGGGAGGAAGGCUAAUGCAGCACCGCCGCGUGCGGGAUGACGGCCAUCGGGUUGUAAACCGCUUUUGCCUGUGACGAAGCGUGAGUGACGGUACUGGGUAAAGAAGCACCGGCUAACUACGUG
rnacentral:rRNA from 1 species